UAAGAUUGAAAUAGCAGCAGCCUGAUUUGUUACUUUAUUAAGAUAGGGAUUGAAAUAUUAUUAUUUAUUAUUCACUUGUUAGAUUAGAGCUUAAGAAUUGUUGUGUGGGAAGUUUGGAAUGAUUGAAAGAGAAGCCCAUUUUUUUCAUUGUUAUGUCGACUAACAUUACCGUGUCAUUGUUAGCUUUUUUUUCAUUUACUGGAUUUUGUUUCACAUGAUAGGGAUGAGCAUUUAGUUUCGGCUACCUUGUAGGAUAAAAUUAGUUAAUAUAUAAACUAAUAUUUUUUUUUUACUCGGUAGGAUAUCAUUGAAUAAAUUACAUGGGUCUUAUUGUUUUAUUAUCAUUAUGUCAUGGUCUAGUGGUCUAGUGAGAACUUUGCAUGUGGUGAAAUGAGUUAAUGAGGACUCUGUUACAAGUUAUAAAUAUUUCAAUUUUAGUUAGCUUCUAAAUAUCUCUAUAGUUAAUAGAUAAUUAUAACAUGAUGAAUAAUAUUGGAUUGUCGUUUAAAGUUCAUUGAUUUAAAUCGAAUUUUACGUGGAUUCGACAAAUCCAUGUCGCUAUACCAUCAAAGUUUCAAUAAAUUAAUUGUAUAUUUUCACCGCGUUUCGAUCUCACAUACGACAUUCCAAUUUCAUUGUCGUUAUGUACAAACCGGUUUUGGAGCACAUUGUAACCAAUUCAAUUUCAUUAUCCAUUCAAACCAAUUUCAAAAAGCACAAAUCAUACAAUUCUCGAUUUAAUAUCGAGCCCCUUUUUAAACACCCUUGUAAGUCGAUUGCUCUUAGCAUCGCCAUCAACCUCANAGAUCCAUCACCGAUGAACAGAUCCGAUGCCGGAUCUGCAACUUCAAUCCACUCCUAACGCUGUUAAAGUUAUCACCACGACCUAAAUCGGAAAUAACAUACAUCAAUACUAAGGCAUACAUCGUCCUCCUUGCCGAGCAGAAGAUUAAAAUCCGGUGAAGGUGAUGGAGAUUUGUUUUUUUUACUCACGAAAAGGUGUUAUGAAUUGCACUUGAGGGCCACGAGUAGAAGAUCGGUUUUGAGAGGAAAUCCCAAACAGCGAAGGAAGAACAACACGCCUCCAAAAGACUCGAUUCAAGCAGCUGCAUAUUGCAUCAUGUCUCUGAUUUAGUGUUCGUUGAUUUUCGGUAAUUUCAUUCUGUUUACUGGCUUGAUUCGAAUCCAAGUUUUAGAUUGUGCCGUAUUGUUUUAUCUAUAUUAUGUUGUGCCUUCCACAAAUUGUUGCUUAAAUGACAUAUAUUUUUUUUGUAUGUUUAAGGUUUAUUAGGAAAAUGGAUGUGUUUGAGCUUACUGUAUGAGCUUGUUAAGUGCAAAAUUCUCUUUAUUAUUGCCUCAUUGGAAUGCCGACAUUGAUGUGUUUGAGUUUACGAAGCUUUUUAUGUAAGAUUGAAAUAGCAGCAGCCUGAUUUGUUACUUUAUUAAGAUAGGGAUUGAAAUAUUAUUAUUUAUUAUUCACUUGUUAGAUUAGAGCUUAAGAAUUGUUGUGUGGGAAGUUUGGAAUGAUUGAAAGAGAAGCCCAUUUUUUUCAUUGUUAUGUCGACUAACAUUACCGUGUCAUUGUUAGCUUUUUUUUCAUUUACUGGAUUUUGUUUCACAUGAUAGGGAUGAGCAUUUAGUUUCGGCUACCUUGUAGGAUAAAAUUAGUUAAUAUAUAAACUAAUAUUUUUUUUUUACUCGGUAGGAUAUCAUUGAAUAAAUUACAUGGGUCUUAUUGUUUUAUUAUCAUUAUGUCAUGGUCUAGUGGUCUAGUGAGAACUUUGCAUGUGGUGAAAUGAGUUAAUGAGGACUCUGUUACAAGUUAUAAAUAUUUCAAUUUUAGUUAGCUUCUAAAUAUCUCUAUAGUUAAUAGAUAAUUAUAACAUGAUGAAUAAUAUUGGAUUGUCGUUUAAAGUUCAUUGAUUUAAAUCGAAUUUUACGUGGAUUCGACAAAUCCAUGUCGCUAUACCAUCAAAGUUUC
rnacentral:lncRNA from 1 species